rnacentral:lncRNA from 1 species
CACCAUCAAUAUUUGGUCACAAAUCAACUAGUUGGUAAAAAAUGCCUAAAUAGUUGGUCAAAACACUCUUUAUCUCACCUGUCGUCCCCGCUGCUACCAUCACACCAUCACCAAUGUCAAUACCACAACACCAUCAACAAAAUUGCCAUCAUCAUAGCCAUAGCCACAACCAAUAAAAACAACCCCAACACUAAAACAUGAAAAACCACCACCACGGCACCACUACAAACCACCUACACAUACCACCGUGCACCAGAUCGCAUUGAGCAGCGCCGAUGGAUGGAUGAACAACAGCGCCGAUGGAUGGAUGAACAACAGGUCUCAUAAUCAAUGCUGACAUGUACCAUAUUAUGACACAACAACAAACCCAACAAACUGGAUCGCGAAAUACCAACAAAAACAGCGACGUCAUCCAUUGAUGAAUCUAUGCUGCUGCUUAGUGGCCCCAUCUAGGGCUUCAUUUAGACUCGGCAUACCAACAUACCAGCUACGUCAUCCAUUGAUGAAUCUAUGCUGUCGCAUAGCAACCCCAUCUAGGGUUUCAGUUCAGGUGCGUAGCGAUGAUUUUUUCUUCAUCGUUACUGCACGUGACAGCUCUAUCAACACCACCUCGUAGGUGACCCUGUGAGAGAAGAUUGAGACAGAGAGAGAAGAUUCGACAUGUAGUGACGGUUUUCCCAUCAUUUUCGCACUAUAAGAGCAUUACCUUGAAGAAGAGAAGGGUAAAUAGUAGAGAGAGAUGGGAUGGGAAAUAUUUUAGGUUUUGUAGUGCGAGUGGGUAAAUUUAUA